rnacentral:rRNA from 1 species
UUAGAUUAAAACCAAUCGGGUUUCGGCCCGUCAAUUGGUGACUCUGAAUAACUAUGGCUGAUCGCAUGGUCUUGAACCGGCGACGUGUCUAUCAAGUGUCUGCCUUAUCAACUGUCGAUGGUAGUUUAUGUGCCUACCAUGGUUGUAACGGGUAACGGAGAAUAAGGGUUCGACUCCGGAGAGGGAGCCUGAGAAACGGCUACCACAUCCAAGGAAGGCAGCAGGCGCGCAAAUUACCCACUCUCGGCAUGAGGAGGUAGUGACGAAAAAUAACGAGACCGUUCUCUCUGAGGCCGGUUAUCGGAAUGGGUACAAUUUAAACCCGUUAACGAGGAUCUAUGAGAGGGCAAGUCUGGUGCCAGCAGCCGCGGUAAUUCCAGCUCUCAAAGUGUAUAUCGUCAUUGCUGCGGUUAAAAAGCUCGUAGUUGGAUCUGCGCCUCAGGACUUGGUCCGCCCACUGGGCGAGAACUGGGCUCCUGGGCUAGUACUGCUGGUUUUCCCUACGUUGCCUUCAUCGGUCGCGUAGGGUGGCUAGCGAGUUUACUUUGAAAAAAUUAGAGUGCUUCACGCGGGCUUAUGUCUGAAUACUCGUGCAUGGAAUAAUAGAAUAGGAUCUCGGUUCUAUUUUGUUGGUUUUCUGAUCUGAGAUAAUGGUUAAGAGGGACGGACGGGGGCAUUCGUAUCGCUGCGUGAGAGGUGAAAUUCUUGGACCGUAGCGAGACGUCCGACUGCGAAAGCAUUUGCCAAGAAUGUCUUCAUUAAUCAAGAACGAAAGUCAGA